rnacentral:lncRNA from 1 species
UAUGUUAAGGAGUUAGAAAAGCUAGAAUUUUUGAAAUUCAAGGUCUAUGGUAGGGGGUUCAAUAUACCGCAGGGUGGUCAAAAUACCAUGGCUAAGUAACAUUUUCAAAAUUUCUUUUCCAGCAUGUUUAAUACAUACAAACUACUUAUUGGAGUAUUAUAACUAUGUUACUUAGGAGCUAGAAUAGAUUGAAUUUUUGAAAUUUAAGGUCUAUAGUAGGGGUUCAAUAUACUGCAGGGGGGUCAAAAUACCAUGGCUAAGUAAAAUUUUCAAAAUAUCUUUUCCAGCAUGUUUAAUACAUACAUACUACUCAUUGGAGUAUUAUAACUAUGUUAAGGAGCUAGAAUAGAUUGAAUUUUUGAAAUUCAAGGUCUAUAGUAGGGGGUUCAAUAUACUGCAGGGGGGUCAAAAUACCAUGGCUAAGUAAAAUUGCAAAAUUUCUUUUCUAUCAUGUUUAAUACAUACAAACUACUUAUUGGAGUAUUAUAACUAUGUUAAGGAGUUAGAAUAGCUAGAAUUUUUGAAAUUCAAGGUCUAUGGUAGGGGGUUCAAUAUACAGCAAGGGGGUCAACAUACCAUGGCUAAGUAAAAUUUUCAAAAUAUCUUUUCCAGUAAGUUAAAUACAUGCAAACUACUUAUUGGAGUAUGAUUACUAUGUUAAGGAAUAAGAAUAGCUUGAAUUUUUGAAAUUCAAGGUCUAUAGUAGAGUGUUCAAUAUACCGCAGGGGGGUCAAAAUACCAUGGCUAAGUAAAAUUUUCAAAAUAUCUUUUCCAAGAUGUUAAAUACAUGCUAACUACUUAUUGGAGUAUGAUUACUAUGUUAAGGAAUUAGAAUAGCUUGAAUUUUUGAAAUUCAAGGUUGUAGGGGGUUCAAUAUACCGCAGGGGGGUCAAAAUACCAUGGCUAAGUAAAAUUUCAAAAUAUCUUUUUCCAGUAUGCUUAAAUACAUGCAAAACUACUUAUUGGAGUAUGAUUACUAUGUUAAGGAAUAAGAAUAGCUUGAAUUUUUGAAAUUCAAGGUCUAUAGUAGGGGGUUCAAUAUUACCACAGGGGGGGUCAAAAUACCAUGGCUAGUAAAAUUUUCAAAAUAUCUUUUCCAGCAUGUUUUAAUACAUACAAACUACUUAUUGGAGUAUUAUUAACUAUGUUAAGGAGUUAGAAUAGAUUGAAUUUUUGAAAUUCAAGGUCUAUAGUAGGGGGUUCAAUAUACCGCAGGGGG